rnacentral:rRNA from 1 species
UAGUCCACGCUGUAAACGAUGAUCACUCGAUGUACACGCUAGUCGUGUGUGUCCAAGCGAAAGCAUUAAGUGAUCCACCUGGGGAGUACGCUCGCAAGAGUGAAACUCAAAGGAAUUGACGGGAGUCCGCACAAGCGGUGGAGCAUGUGGUUUAAUUCGAUAAUACGCGAGGAACCUUACCUGGGCUCGAAUGUCUCUGCUACCUCGAGAAAUCGAGGGUUCCUUCGGGACAGAGUACAAGGUGCUGCAUGGCUGUCGUCAGCUCGGGUCGUGAGAUGUUGGGUUAAGUCCUAUAACGAGCGCAACCCCUUUACUUAGUUGCCAGCACAUCAUGGUGGGACUCUAAGUAUACUGCCUACGUAAGUAGGAGGAAGGAGGGGACGAGGUCAAGUCAUCAUGGCCCUUACGCCCAGGGCUACACACGUGCUACAAUGGCGUGUACAGAAGGAGGCUACUUGGUAACAAGCGGCAAACCCUCAAAGCACGUCUCAGUUCGGAUUG